GACCAGGACCAUCACACUGGGGACCGGCUUCUCUGCUCUCCCGUUAUGGGGGUCGGGGGAAUGAUGGGUCAAGGGUCUUCCGAAGAAAGCGAGAAAGGAACAGGCGCCUUCAAAAGCCCACUUGGCGAUGGGUUACAGUAAGAGGUUUCCCCUCCAGGUGCAGCUUCAGAGCCAGGCGAGCCAGGAAGGACCAGCGGGCGAGGUGGAAGUCUGCAUUAUCACGAGGAGCUUGGAAAGGAGGUAACACACUCAAGGCAAAUUUCAAGUAACUCAUCCUGGAGGCAGCUGCCUACUCUGCAGCUGUGGUUCUCCACCACAGAGAGAAGAAAAGGGAGGGAGAUGGAGUGCGCAGGUCUGAGAAGGCUUUCAUUCUGGAGCAUCUGCAGGAGCCUGCACCAUGGCCCAGUAGCACCCCUUUUUCUCCAUGAGCUGCUGGUGGGUUCCCCCCUCCCGGAUAGCGCCUCCUUCCAGAAAGAGGAUGUGGUCAGCCUGCUCCACCAGGCUGAGGUGCUGGGUGAUGAGAAGCACUGAGCGGGAGUACCGCUCAGGGCUUUCGUACAGGAGCUGCUCCACCUGAGGAAAGACAUCGGACCGUCAGAGCCGGGGACUACCCUCAGCCCAGGGAGACACCUGUGUUUCCAGGGCUGGGACUGACCUCACAGGAUCACUGCUGGCUCUGCUAACAACCCCAAGGACACCAACGUUUCCCAUUCUGAGUACUUCUCCGCAAACCCUUUGUUUCAUUAAGGACUGUUUUACAUGAAGGGUGCAAAAGUAGGAUAAAAAUGAGAACCCUAGGGUGAAACACGUGACAGAAGAAUAAAGACUAUUGAAUAGUCCUCUUCUCUACCCAUGGACUUGGCAUUUUUAUAUUCGAUUUUAAGGAAAUAUAACUUAGUAGUAAAGAGAUGAGCAUUCAAGUCAGGCAGACCUGAAUUUGGGUCAAGGCUGCGCCACUCAAAAGCUAUAUGACCUCUAUAUGAGCAGCUUAUUCAACCUCUUUUAACCUCCAUUUUGUCAUCUGUAGAAUGAUGAUAAAUGCCUAGCUCAGAAGGAUUCCUAAUGAAUAAAUGAGUGACAGUGCAUGUAAACAGACUAGCUUAAUUAAUAUUAAUAUGAUUAGGAUGGGCUGGGCCCGGUGGCUCAUGCCUAUAAUCCUAGCACUUUGGGAGGUCAAGGAGGGAGGAUCACUUGGGCCCAGGAGUUCAAGGCCAGCCUGGGCAACAUAGCGGGACGCUGUCUGUACAAAAAAUAAUUUUUUUAAAUAAACGAUAUUAUGA
rnacentral:lncRNA from 1 species